UGCAGUAUCUGGUUCUUUUUUUUUGCUUUAGUUGCUCAUAUAAAAGAAAAGCAUAUCGGGUAGUUGGAGAUGAGUUUUUGCUUUCUAGUUAUACUUCUGUUACGUUGGAAUUUAUACAAUAUUGCAUGCAGUGUAAUGCUAUGCAACACACUCAAUUUGAUUUGCGUAAACAAGUCCUACAGAAAAAUAUUUGUUGAUGAUAUGAUUUUGGUAUAAAUUAAAAUGGCUUCUUGUGGGCAAAUGGUAUAUUUUUUUGCCCACUUGGUUUUAUUUGUAAAUGGUUUGUGACUUUGUGUUAUGCAUGAGCAGAAUCAACGGGGACACCUUAUCUAUUUCUUUUUAUUUAAAAGGUAGUGGUGGAAGUAUUAUAAAGUGGAACACCACAUUAUGGUCGUGGAUCAGCUCGAAGCAUAUAUAUAACCCGUGACUCGGGGGACAAUGGAAGGCGACAUAUUAGUUUUACAUUCUUCCCAGUAUGCAGUUACAUACAGCAGUUAAGAAAGCUCAUCUUGGCAUAGUUACAUACCUGAUGUUUUCACAUGAUUCAAGGGCUCUUUUGUCAACAUCUUCUGAUUCAAGUGCAAGAGUGACACUGAUAAGAAGGAAAGAGGAUUAAGCUUGUGGGCCAUCUUAUUCAUGAUAUUGCUAGUGAUAGCCGUGUAUUACACAAAAUUGGCGGAAUUGCUUUCGUAUAGCAAUCCUACUGCUUGAAAAUGUGUGGAAUAUCUUCCAAGUGGAUCAUGAUAUUUUAAUUCUUCUGUCUUUGAAUUUCAACAAUAUAUUGGAUUUUGUAAUAGAGGAACGCUAUAAAUUAUUUUUAAGUCGUGGAUGAGUGAUGCAAACUUGGAUCAGCGAGUGCUGUUUCAUUUUAUUAUUUUUUUUAAUUCUGGUUAUAGCAAUGGUUAAUUGUAAGCUCUGUACCUGGACAAAUUAGUGAAUGGUGCAUAUAUGUAUUGCU